GGUGCAGUAAACUAAAUAAAGUUAUUGGGCUCAUGCCCCAACUAUGAAGGCAGCCCUUCCUGCGCCU
rnacentral:tRNA from 1 species